CACAUGCAAGUCGAACGGUAACAGGAAUUAGCUUGCUAAUUUGCUGACGAGUGGCGCACGGGUGCGUAACGCGUAUGCAACUUACCUCUAACAGGAGGAUAGCCUUUCGAAAGGAAGAAUAAUACUCCAUAAUAUUUAUUAGUGGCAUCAUUAAUUUAUUAAAACUACGGUGGUUAGAGAUAGGCAUGCGUCCUAUUAGCUAGUUGGUGAGGUAACAGCUCACCAAGGCGAUGAUAGGUAGG
rnacentral:rRNA from 1 species